rnacentral:lncRNA from 1 species
AAAUUAUUUACAAAAUAAACUCAACACCUUUGUAUGGGAUCAGCUCGCCUGACAGUGUGCAGCAAAGCUUCGAAAAAUAAAGAAAGGGUAAAGAAAAAAUAAACGAAAAAAUACAUAAUUAAAUUCCAAUAUUAUUUGUUACAGAAAGUCUAUCCUUCAAAGACUCUUUAACAUAACCGUCUUUUGCCGUGUCACUUUUCCACCGACCAUGCUUUUUGAACAAUCUGUCCUCUACACCAGCCGCUGCAGCAGCCGAUGCCCCUCC